GACGAACGCUGGCGGCGUGCUUAACACAUGCAAGUCGAACGGAAAGGCCCUGCUUUUGUGGGGUGCUCGAGUGGCGAACGGGUGAGUAACACGUGAGUAACCUGCCCUUGACUUUGGGAUAACUUCAGGAAACUGGGGCUAAUACCGGAUAGGAGCUCCUGCUGCAUGGUGGGGGUUGGAAAGUUUCGGCGGUUGGGGAUGGACUCGCGGCUUAUCAGCUUGUUGGUGGGGUAGUGGCUUACCAAGGCUUUGACGGGUAGCCGGCCUGAGAGGGUGACCGGCAAAAUGGGAACUGGAUUACGGCCCGAACUCCUAGGGGGGGAAGAGGGGGGAAUAUUGCACAAUGGGCGGAAGCCUGAUGCAGCAACGCCGCGUGCGGGAUGACGGCCUUCGGGUUGUAAACCGCUUUCGCCUGUGACGAAGCGUGAGUGACGGUAAUGGGUAAAGAAGCACCGGCUAACUACGUG
rnacentral:rRNA from 1 species